AUGUGCAUGAUGAUCUCUUGCUUUUGCACAUAUUGUUUGCGAGAGGGAAUCAUAAACAUGAAGGUACAUCUCACAUCGCUUUCUACUCUAAUGCAUAUGACCAAGACACAUGUAACUCAUUAUUUACUAUGUCAUGUUGUGCAUUCAGAUGUCGUUCAAAUUCUAUCAUUACAUGAGUGCACACAUGUAGAGGGAGCUCAUGCAAGUUACAUGUUCCUCCAAAGAUUUACUUACUACUCUUCACAUUAUCUACUUGAAGCUUUGAUGUAUGUUGUCAUCAAUUACCAAAAAGGGGGAGAUUGA
rnacentral:rRNA from 1 species